AGCAAAGUAAGGACCCCUAGAUGUAACUUGCGUUUGAAGGAAGCUCUUUUGAGGUGGCUAUUUCAAUGCACUAGCUCUAGAAUGUCCUUAAGGUACUUCCAAGACAUAUGCUCCAGCAUUUUUAGAAAUGCUGGCAGAUCUAAUGAUUACUUUUAUAUUUUACUAUAAUGGAAAGACUAGUUUCCUUAGCUAUCCGGACUGCCUUGACCUCUGGUGAAAAUCCAUGACAGGAGUCCAAACUGAGUGCAUGGGCUGGUUGUGAAGGCCAUCAACAACUGUAAGAUUUUAGCUAUUUCUUCCUUUGACUUCUGUCAAGAAUAAAUUGUGUACCUUGCCUCCUGACUCAUUGUCCUUAAAAAGGGGUUUCACUCUCAUUUUUCUCCCUCUCCUGAUCUUGAUAGAUAAACAAAGAAUCCAUAAACCAAGAUUUAAGACCAGAUGCUAUAACUGAAAAGAAUGCAAGUUUCCUCUAAGUCCGAACAGAGGGGUAGGAUACAUGAUGACAACUGUCUCAAGGAGUAGGGGCUGCUUGGGAGACCAUACUAAGACCUCUUGCUGUGGCUACAGACAGCUGAAUAUCCAGAGCGCUUGCAGUGAUGAAGACUGUAGAAGAACGACAAAGGAGCAGAAGGAGACAUCAAGGAAAGCUGCCAAGCAUUGUCUGCAAGGUGUUGAUUCUGUGUAUCUAUGAAAGAUGGGAUGCGAAACUGAAGUUAUUCACUGAGAUGAAUAUUUUACUUUUAAUGGAAAGGUUAAAAUUCAGUAUUUGUCUCAUGUACAAUACAUAUGCUAUUCUGUUAGCAAAAAUCAAGCCACUUUUAUUUUGCUUGGCACCUUCUAAGCAUGUAGCUGAACAGUAAGAACGGAG
rnacentral:lncRNA from 1 species